rnacentral:lncRNA from 1 species
GGGUGUUCAAUCCGGAUAUCGGUUCGGUUUUUUUCGGUUUUUGGUAUUUCGGUUAGUAAAAUAUAACUACCAUUCUAAAUCCAUAUUUACUUCGGUUCGCUUCGGUUUAUAUACCGUCGGUUUUCGGUUUAUUCGGUUUUAUACCAACAAACAUAAUUAUUUUGUUUGAGAUCAUAUUAUAUGAAUUUUAGAGUCAUAUUGUCAACACAGUCAUUUGUUAAAAAUAUAUUACAUGUUCAAAUAGAUGAACAAAAAAAAAGUAAAAUGCUUCUACCAUCGUUUAUAUGGUAUAUACCAAAACCAAACCAUAUUGUCUAUUUCGGUUCGGUUCGGUACGGUUCGUUUUUACCAUAUUGAACAGCUCUAGAUAAUAGUAAUAAUAAUAUAAAUAUUAGUUUCUAUAAUUUAUUUAUUUGUAUUAUUUUAUUAUUAAAUUUUUAUAAUUUUCAUUUCAUAUAAUAAAAGGUUUUUUCCCAAAAAAUAUUUGUUGUGAGAUAUCUAUAAUUCUUAUUUAACAACAUGCUCUAAGAUAUACUCAAUAUGCAUCUGAAAUUUUAGACCGUUUGACCCGUAUUCACUUCACCUCGGAUCAAAUGGGACAAAGCCCACUAACAUUGAUUAGUUUUUCUAGCUCUACUAUUUAAUAGCUUAAUAUUUGCUCCAAAAUUGCUAGUUCCCGAACUUUUGUUGAAUAAAUUUGAACAACGUUAAAAAAAUUGAGCAAAAACUCAGAUUUGAAAAAAUAUAUAUAUUUUAAAAUUGAACAACAUAAAUGCAUCUUCCAGCUCAAAAAAAAAAUCAGAUUAAAAAACAAUAUAUUUAUAUACUAAUUCAAUCGAAACAGGCCCAAUAAUCUAUUAUUCGACCCACAUAAAUAUUUUGGUAGCCCGUUAAAAAGCAAAACCCUAAUUAGGGGGAUAGAGAAAACAUCUCCUCCGCUGGUCCUGACAAAACCUUCAACAACAAGUCGGUCUACCUCCACCACCGCACGCUUGUCUUCCGGUAUCUCUUGAUCUUUGUCUCAUUUUGUGUAUUUAACUAUCUAUUGAUUCUAUUUUUUUAUUUUGCCAAUCUGUUUGGUGGCUUUUUUGUAUUUCAGUUGGAAUUUAAAAAAAAAUGGAUUUCUCAUCUCCGUCGCCGCCGAUGGGUAGUGGUCAAUCUCCGGAAGCAUUGAUGGAACAGGUGCAGGCGCAGCUACAACAAGCUUACGCGGAGGAGUUGAUAGAGACACUGAGAGGAAAAUGCUUUGAUAAAUGUGUAACAAAGCCAGGAUCAAGCCUUAGCAGUGGCGAGAGUAGCUGCGUCUCUAGAUGCGUUGAUCGUUACAUUGAAGCCAUGGGUAUCGUUAGCCGUUCUCUCUUCUCCCAACAACGUUGAUCAACACUCUCUUCUAAGCUACUACUGUUGUUUUACUUUUGUUUUGAGUCUGAGUCUUUGUCAUUAAGACAAUCACCAGCUUUGGUUUCUUUAUAUGGUGAUAUAACUUUAUUACAAUGUUGACGACAAUAAUCUCUGUUUGACAUUCAUGAAAAGUUCUUUGGAAAUCAAAUAUGUUUCUUGAUGAUAUUUUGAUUUUGAAAUUUGUUUCGUUUUCUGUGAGCUUUUAGUCGAUCGAUAAAUGAAUAUGAGAUGUUUAGCAAUGAUUGAUGUUGUGUAGAUUUGUGUCUGUGAUUUGUUACGGUAGUAUUCACCUACUGUGUUAUGCGAAUUAUAAUUGGUUGUGUUUGUGAUGAAGUUUUCAUAUUGAAAUGUGAGUGUUUAGCUUUCUAUCCAUAUAUAUAACAGUGUGUUUCCUGGUUUUUGAGAAUGUGAAUAUAUUGAAGUCAUCAUACACUUUCAAGUGGUCAGGAUUUGCGAACCAGUGUGUGCCUAUUCUGAACACUGAGCUUUGCCUUUUACAUUCGUCUUAAUGGUAGUGGAUGAGUUUUAUGUGGCUGUUUUAAGUAGUUGGCUUGGUCAUUAGUAAUGAGCCUAAUUUACAGUUAAAAAUUAACUCAAUUGUGAAUAAUUGCCCUGGUUUGCCUCCCAAAGACUCAUGGUUGUCCUACUUCAAGACCCAAAAUAAAUGUGUAUUUCUUAGGGUGUUAUUUAUGGACCUGAUGUAAUCCCCUUCAACAAUAAAUGUAAUGAGAAAACUCUUCACACUAAUGCAUGAAUGAUACUUUACCUAACAAAAUAAUAAAUCCUAUGAUAUAGAUGUUUAUGAUUUUUAAUAUAGACUAGUAUACUUUUUUAUAAAAUUGGUUAACGUUUCAACGACGGUAGCUAAAUCUUUAAAGAGGUUUGGUCAUCUCCAACUAUAAUUUCUUUGGCCUGCGUAGUUGACACGGUGGGUAAUGUGUGAAGCUUCUGCCAAUACUUUUUAUAGGGUUUGAAUGGAACCCCAUCCGAUCCAAAAAAAUAGUAUCGAAUCUGAACCAAUUUUAUUAAACUUUAGAAACAGAACUGAAUCCGAACCAAAAUAAUUUAGAUAUUUAAAUGUAUUCGAAAUAGAUUUAUAUAUCUAAUAUACUAACUAAUGUUAAGAUUUAACUUAUAAAAAUAUCUAAAAUAUAUAAGAUAUUUUUAAAUCAUCCAAAACUUAAGGAAUAUAAUAUAAACUAAUCAAAGUAAAUGUUUAAAAUAACUAAAAAAUACUUAAAACAUCAAAAAUAAUUAAAAUAUUUAUUGAUUAUUUGUCUAAAUAUUCAAGUCAAAUUAAUUUAUAUGUUAAAUUUAGGUAUUUUCACAUAUUUUAUUCAAAUUUAUGUAUAAUAUCUUAUUUUGUUUUUAGAUUUUGAAAAAUUUAAAAUAUAUAAUGAAUUCAAUUUUCAAAAAAAAAAUUAAACGUAUUAUCCAAAUCAGAACCAAACCUUCAAAAAUUCAAACCUGAAUCCAAACCGAUAUUUAUAAAUAUUCGAAUGAAGCUGAAAUUUUUCUAAUCCUGAAAAUUCAAAAUCCGAAUAGAUCCAAACCGAACCGGAUAGGUAUAUUCCCCCACACCUACUCCUUUUUUUUUCUUUCUUACAAGACAUAAACGUGAGUCGCACGUGCCGUAGAUAUUUUAGACAUACUUUUUGUUUCUGUCCAAUUGUGAUUUGUCCUAAAGCCGCUUUUGAAGAAGAAGACUACUAACUACGUUUACUUUUCUCAAUUUUAAUCAGAGCUUCAUAUUCAGCUCCGACUCACGAGGACCUCUCACUCUCACUCUCGAUCUCUCUCGCUAUUCCUUCGAUCGUCUCGACUACUGGGUACGCUCUUUUCUUUUCCUUUUUGUCUCUUGAAGUUUAGAUCUUUGGUGUUGUGUUUGUGAAAUUUUCAUUCUACUGUGGUUCAAAAUUCCCGAAAAUUUGAUGGAUCUUCUUGAUGGAGAUUGAACAACAACUUUACUCAAAACUUUCACUUGAUUCUUAGUUUUUUUUUUUUUUGCGUAGUGUUAGUUAGCCAACUAGUUAGUUAGCUGAGUCAUGCUUUGUCUGUGUGAUUCAAGUCACAUGAACCAAGUGAACAUUUCUUGUCUAGUGUCCAUUUGCAUGUCUGUGACUUCUCUGCUGUGCUGUUCUUCCCUCAUGAAUAAUAGAUUUUGAUACUGCACACUAGUGUGUUAUUCAAAAUGUUUCGCCGCAAGACUACUUCGCAAGCUGAACAAGAGAAUAAUGAAGCAGCUCUCAGAGAGGCAAAGGUACAAACUUUCCAUGACUCUCACUUAUAAACUGAAUAACUGAUUCUUGAAAGAUCAUUUCUUUACUGAUCUUAAUGAUCCACAGAUCAAAGAGGUCAAGACUCUCAUAGGUGAGCUCUCUGGAAGGAGUUCACUCUACUGUUCAGAUCCCUGUCUCAAGAGAUAUCUUGAAGCUAGGAACUGGAACGUUGGCAAAGCCAAGAAGAUGCUUGAAGAGACGCUGAAAUGGAGAUCAACCUUCAAACCUGAAGAGAUCCGUUGGGUAAGUCAUCAACCACAUUCCUUAAGAGUAGGCUUCCUCUGAAACCUUAUCAACUUAAAGGCUUGCUUUGUUUUUUUUUUUACUAGGAUGAAGUUUCAGGUGAAGGUGAGACUGGGAAAGUCUACAAAGCUGGAUUCCAUGACAGAAGUGGAAGAACGGUUCUUAUACUCAGACCUGGAUUGCAGAACACCAAGUCUUUGGAGAACCAGAUGAAACAUUUAGUGUAUCUCAUUGAGAAUGCUAUUAUGAAUCUCCCGGAGGAUCAAGAGCAGAUGUCUUGGCUCAUUGAUUUUACAGACUGGUCGCUGAGCACCAGUGUGCCUAUCAAAUCCGCCAGGGAAACUAUCAACAUACUGCAGAAUCACUACCCUGAGAGACUAGCUGUCGCUUUCCUCUAUAACCCUCCAAGGCUCUUUGAGGCAUUCUGGAAGGUUAGAAGGCAAAUCACUGAUUCUGACUCAUAGAGUUAUACAAAACAUUAGUUAAUGAUGAGUGUUUGUUGUGUGUGUGUUGUUCUGCAGAUAGUGAAGUACUUCAUUGAUGCAAAGACAUUCAUCAAGGUGAAGUUUGUUUACCCGAAGAACCCUGAAAGCGUGGAGCUUAUGAGCUCAUUUUUCGACGAGGAGAACCUCCCAACGGAGUUUGGAGGGAAGGCUUUGUUGCAGUAUAACCAUGAAGAGUUCUCUAAGCAAAUGAACCAAGACGAUGUUAAAACUGCAGACUUUUGGGGAUUGGUUCAUAGUAACAACAAUCACCAGCAGCAGUCCAGCAGUGGAUUUUCUGGAGCUGAGAUUGCUCCUGAGCCAAUACAAACCAACACUUAAAACUAGCUUUGAAAGGCUAUGUAUUGUUGUAACCAACCCUUUUUCAAAUGGGGACAAAGAUAAAGAUAGCUCUUGAUGCUUAGAGGAGAGGACACAGAGAUGUAAGAUUUAGACUCGGUAUUUGAUUAAAUAAAAGGAUUUGUGUGUUAUAAGCAGCUCUUGCAGGUGUUAUAAGUGAUUCCAAUAAUACUUUACACUCAAAAGCAUUUAUUUACAGGAAGAAGACAAGCUUUGUUUCUUUCAGUAUCAUCAAUCUCAACAAACCCAAGAAGAAGAAGAGAAUGGUUUCUUUCAAAAUUUGAAGGCACACAGAAGAAAAAAAAAAACAGAUGAAGAAAGAUUAUCAUACUACACAAAUGUAUUAGCUAUUAAACUCUAUUAAGUUUAGAGAUUUGCGUUGGAGUGGAGUUAGAGAGAGAGACAGAGAAGGCCAAGAAGCUUGAGGCAAGUUUAAGUGAGACUACUAGAUGAGUCUUCUUCUGAAGUUUCUGGUGGUUGAUUGAUAGGUUCGCACCAGAAGGCCAACACCAAUGCCGAGACCUACACAGACGCCAAGACCAAUUCCAACGCCAACCCUCACACCAGCAUUGAACCACGACAUUUCGCCAUCUUCAACAUCUGCGUACUCUCUUCCCAUAUACAUGUCUCCGUAUUCUCCUUCAUAGUCUUGUUUAUAGUUUCCGUAUUCUGUUGCCUACACAAUUUUAAAAAACUCCCAUACUUAGGACAAAACAUUGCAAAGAAUAUGUUUUGGUACAUGGCUCUCUGAAACGAAAAUAAGAAAGAUACAUUCAUAGAGAUAGUCAAGUAAAGAACACAAUGGCCAUUCAACCAGUACUUGUAGAAUAGAGGCUAAUAGUACUUUUAUUCUCAUACUGGUGUUUAGACCUCCAUGAUAUUUAGGUGGAAGUUAUAGACACUAAUAUAGUUUAAGGGAAGCUAAUAACCUAUAGUGAGUUCUAAGAACCAUUCCAAAUAGGUCAACUGCAAUAAAACCUUCAAGCAUAAGUUAAUCUUAACAUUUGAUUCUUCAAUAGGUUAACAUCUUCCCUGGUAAGUAGUCUAUGCAUAAACUAAAGUUGAUAUAUUGUGGCACUAAUGUGAUAACCACAAUGAAUCACAUAAGAACUGAAUGUAGCAGACAGGAGGAUAAGAAUUCAAACAUUAAGAUCACAUGACAAGAGAGAGAGAGAGAGAGAGAGAGAGAGCUUUCUAUUAAUAUGUCAGGCCCCAUACAUCACAUGAUCAUUUAUCAAGAGCUGGUACCAAGAAACAAGCAGACUCAUAUCCUAGGUAACGCAUUCAAAAAACCAUUAUAAUACUAUUUAAAAAGCAUUGAUACAAUGAAACAGCAAAAUGAAAAAUUACCUGAAAAUCAAGCUCAGACGAGUUGCCUUUAUGAGUCUCGCCGGUUUCAUACUCAGGAAUCGAAUCUAACGCAGCCACUCUAUUAUGCAUCUUCUUCCUAAAACCAAGCUGAAGCGUCUUGGUCAAGAUGAUAGGUGUUCCCGAGAAGCAACCAGUGACAUACACUUCAACAGUCGGCAACAACGGAGAUGAUGACAUCUCAGAACAACCAAUGUGUUUCUUCUUCUCCUUCAAGAAACCACACCCUGCAGUGAUCUCAGCUUCACAGUUCAUCCCCCACCGCUUCACGCCAUGCUUAACAGACUCCCCUGUGAAACCAUUACUACCAGACAACUCUAAAGUCCCAGACAAAACAAGCUCAUCUCUGUCAUACACCUCAAACCUCACGCUACCAGAUAGCCUGAUAUUGUCUGUGCUGAUGAAAGUAACCGCUUCUGAUCUCUUAUCAACACGGUCUCUCCUCAGCUGAGAGGAAACUCCUUGAGAGUACCGAACACCGUUGAUCUCGAGGAGCGAGUCAGGAUCCAGAGGGAUGUGGGUGAGGGUGAGGACCUCAGGUGUGGAAUCAUCCGCCUUGAAGUUGCUGAUUCUGACAUAGAACACUCUCAAAUCCAACAAUGGUGAUGAUGAUGUUCUGUUGUAGCCCUGAUGAUAUCUAACCAUCUGAUAUGCUUCACCGUUGUUGUUGCGUGUCUCGUAAGGCUCCUCCAUAAUUAAGAAGUACUAGAAUCAAUCCCUAAUGUGAUGUGAAAUAGAAAUCAUUCAUUAACCAAAUCGUAACGAAAGAAAUGUAAAGAUUCAAACUUUAAUCACUUUGCCAAAAACAGAGAGAUGGGUCAAAAAUUUACAGAUGUGGAAAUCACAUCUUAAGUUGAAAAAAAAAAACAAAUUAACAAACUUUAAAGCUUUAAAACUACGUUUCUAUCAGAAAGGAACUAUCUUUUCUUUUCAAAACAAAAAUAGAAUUUUCUAAAAAAAAAACUCAGAAAAAUCCGCAGAAAGGAGAGAGGAAGCUCACCGAGGAGAUGGUUCCAUCCACGAGCCCAGAGAAUUACAAUCUGAUGAUUUUUUACAAACUAGUGAUUAGCAUUGAUCUUCCUCCUCCUCCUGCCUGCGUCUCCAAAAUUAAGGAAAGCAAAAAAUAGAAACUUUAUGUGUGGCCAAGUAGGAUUCUGAUUAGAUCUCUCGUAGAUCAUAGAUUUCCAUUAUAUUGCGAGCUCGGCGCGUGGCAGAGGAUUAACGACGAAAGGUUUUGUCUUUAUGGAGGAUAAUUUUGUAUUUUAAUUAGGAGGAAAAGAUUAUUAUAUAUAAUGAGAAAAAGAAAAAAGGAAGAGUGAUGGGAAGAGGUUUGAGAUGUCUCGUUGUUAUGAUCCAACAGGGAGAAGAGGAGAUGGGCUCUUCUGAACGACUUUCCAUCACGUGAUCAUCCUUAUCCUCUUCUUUGGACCAACAAAAAGUCACUGUUUACGAGACACACCGCGUCGGGUCGCUUUUACUAAAACGACGCGAAAUGUCCUGACGUUCGUUGAAAACUGCACGUUGUUGGGCUUUUUUAGUCAAGUGUUGAGCUUUUAAAUUUACAUAUUUCUUGAUAAAAAGGUGGACAUCGUGCCGUUUUGCUUAGGAGUUAAUAAAUUUUGUUGCAAAAACGUUUCAUUUUCUUUAAAACAAAAUUUUAAGUUGAAUAAUCGUUUCUUGAACUACAUACGUAUACGUUGACUGUACCAUCAAUCGUGUUCAAUGAAAUGAAUCUCACAUGAUAAACAUACGUUUUCAGUUAAUAUUGAAUUAAAAUAAGAUCUAAGAAAGUGAAACAAGUUUAACAAAAAAAAAAACAAAAAAAAAAGUGAAACAAAACCAAAAGGACUUUCAUUAGAAGUCAAACCUAACACACAAAUUGCAGCUAGCAACCAGUAGUGAUAAGGUUGCAAAUAUUCUUCACUAGAUUUAUAACUUCAGUCGAUGGAGAUUGAACAACAACUUUACUCAAAACUUUCACUUGAUUCUUAGUUUUUUUUUUUUUUGCGUAGUGUUAGUUAGCCAACUAGUUAGUUAGCUGAGUCAUGCUUUGUCUGUGUGAUUCAAGUCACAUGAACCAAGUGAACAUUUCUUGUCUAGUGUCCAUUUGCAUGUCUGUGACUUCUCUGCUGUGCUGUUCUUCCCUCAUGAAUAAUAGAUUUUGAUACUGCACACUAGUGUGUUAUUCAAAAUGUUUCGCCGCAAGACUACUUCGCAAGCUGAACAAGAGAAUAAUGAAGCAGCUCUCAGAGAGGCAAAGGUACAAACUUUCCAUGACUCUCACUUAUAAACUGAAUAACUGAUUCUUGAAAGAUCAUUUCUUUACUGAUCUUAAUGAUCCACAGAUCAAAGAGGUCAAGACUCUCAUAGGUGAGCUCUCUGGAAGGAGUUCACUCUACUGUUCAGAUCCCUGUCUCAAGAGAUAUCUUGAAGCUAGGAACUGGAACGUUGGCAAAGCCAAGAAGAUGCUUGAAGAGACGCUGAAAUGGAGAUCAACCUUCAAACCUGAAGAGAUCCGUUGGGUAAGUCAUCAACCACAUUCCUUAAGAGUAGGCUUCCUCUGAAACCUUAUCAACUUAAAGGCUUGCUUUGUUUUUUUUUUUACUAGGAUGAAGUUUCAGGUGAAGGUGAGACUGGGAAAGUCUACAAAGCUGGAUUCCAUGACAGAAGUGGAAGAACGGUUCUUAUACUCAGACCUGGAUUGCAGAACACCAAGUCUUUGGAGAACCAGAUGAAACAUUUAGUGUAUCUCAUUGAGAAUGCUAUUAUGAAUCUCCCGGAGGAUCAAGAGCAGAUGUCUUGGCUCAUUGAUUUUACAGACUGGUCGCUGAGCACCAGUGUGCCUAUCAAAUCCGCCAGGGAAACUAUCAACAUACUGCAGAAUCACUACCCUGAGAGACUAGCUGUCGCUUUCCUCUAUAACCCUCCAAGGCUCUUUGAGGCAUUCUGGAAGGUUAGAAGGCAAAUCACUGAUUCUGACUCAUAGAGUUAUACAAAACAUUAGUUAAUGAUGAGUGUUUGUUGUGUGUGUGUUGUUCUGCAGAUAGUGAAGUACUUCAUUGAUGCAAAGACAUUCAUCAAGGUGAAGUUUGUUUACCCGAAGAACCCUGAAAGCGUGGAGCUUAUGAGCUCAUUUUUCGACGAGGAGAACCUCCCAACGGAGUUUGGAGGGAAGGCUUUGUUGCAGUAUAACCAUGAAGAGUUCUCUAAGCAAAUGAACCAAGACGAUGUUAAAACUGCAGACUUUUGGGGAUUGGUUCAUAGUAACAACAAUCACCAGCAGCAGUCCAGCAGUGGAUUUUCUGGAGCUGAGAUUGCUCCUGAGCCAAUACAAACCAACACUUAAAACUAGCUUUGAAAGGCUAUGUAUUGUUGUAACCAACCCUUUUUCAAAUGGGGACAAAGAUAAAGAUAGCUCUUGAUGCUUAGAGGAGAGGACACAGAGAUGUAAGAUUUAGACUCGGUAUUUGAUUAAAUAAAAGGAUUUGUGUGUUAUAAGCAGCUCUUGCAGGUGUUAUAAGUGAUUCCAAUAAUACUUUACACUCAAAAGCAUUUAUUUACAGGAAGAAGACAAGCUUUGUUUCUUUCAGUAUCAUCAAUCUCAACAAACCCAAGAAGAAGAAGAGAAUGGUUUCUUUCAAAAUUUGAAGGCACACAGAAGAAAAAAAAAAACAGAUGAAGAAAGAUUAUCAUACUACACAAAUGUAUUAGCUAUUAAACUCUAUUAAGUUUAGAGAUUUGCGUUGGAGUGGAGUUAGAGAGAGAGACAGAGAAGGCCAAGAAGCUUGAGGCAAGUUUAAGUGAGACUACUAGAUGAGUCUUCUUCUGAAGUUUCUGGUGGUUGAUUGAUAGGUUCGCACCAGAAGGCCAACACCAAUGCCGAGACCUACACAGACGCCAAGACCAAUUCCAACGCCAACCCUCACACCAGCAUUGAACCACGACAUUUCGCCAUCUUCAACAUCUGCGUACUCUCUUCCCAUAUACAUGUCUCCGUAUUCUCCUUCAUAGUCUUGUUUAUAGUUUCCGUAUUCUGUUGCCUACACAAUUUUAAAAAACUCCCAUACUUAGGACAAAACAUUGCAAAGAAUAUGUUUUGGUACAUGGCUCUCUGAAACGAAAAUAAGAAAGAUACAUUCAUAGAGAUAGUCAAGUAAAGAACACAAUGGCCAUUCAACCAGUACUUGUAGAAUAGAGGCUAAUAGUACUUUUAUUCUCAUACUGGUGUUUAGACCUCCAUGAUAUUUAGGUGGAAGUUAUAGACACUAAUAUAGUUUAAGGGAAGCUAAUAACCUAUAGUGAGUUCUAAGAACCAUUCCAAAUAGGUCAACUGCAAUAAAACCUUCAAGCAUAAGUUAAUCUUAACAUUUGAUUCUUCAAUAGGUUAACAUCUUCCCUGGUAAGUAGUCUAUGCAUAAACUAAAGUUGAUAUAUUGUGGCACUAAUGUGAUAACCACAAUGAAUCACAUAAGAACUGAAUGUAGCAGACAGGAGGAUAAGAAUUCAAACAUUAAGAUCACAUGACAAGAGAGAGAGAGAGAGAGAGAGAGAGAGCUUUCUAUUAAUAUGUCAGGCCCCAUACAUCACAUGAUCAUUUAUCAAGAGCUGGUACCAAGAAACAAGCAGACUCAUAUCCUAGGUAACGCAUUCAAAAAACCAUUAUAAUACUAUUUAAAAAGCAUUGAUACAAUGAAACAGCAAAAUGAAAAAUUACCUGAAAAUCAAGCUCAGACGAGUUGCCUUUAUGAGUCUCGCCGGUUUCAUACUCAGGAAUCGAAUCUAACGCAGCCACUCUAUUAUGCAUCUUCUUCCUAAAACCAAGCUGAAGCGUCUUGGUCAAGAUGAUAGGUGUUCCCGAGAAGCAACCAGUGACAUACACUUCAACAGUCGGCAACAACGGAGAUGAUGACAUCUCAGAACAACCAAUGUGUUUCUUCUUCUCCUUCAAGAAACCACACCCUGCAGUGAUCUCAGCUUCACAGUUCAUCCCCCACCGCUUCACGCCAUGCUUAACAGACUCCCCUGUGAAACCAUUACUACCAGACAACUCUAAAGUCCCAGACAAAACAAGCUCAUCUCUGUCAUACACCUCAAACCUCACGCUACCAGAUAGCCUGAUAUUGUCUGUGCUGAUGAAAGUAACCGCUUCUGAUCUCUUAUCAACACGGUCUCUCCUCAGCUGAGAGGAAACUCCUUGAGAGUACCGAACACCGUUGAUCUCGAGGAGCGAGUCAGGAUCCAGAGGGAUGUGGGUGAGGGUGAGGACCUCAGGUGUGGAAUCAUCCGCCUUGAAGUUGCUGAUUCUGACAUAGAACACUCUCAAAUCCAACAAUGGUGAUGAUGAUGUUCUGUUGUAGCCCUGAUGAUAUCUAACCAUCUGAUAUGCUUCACCGUUGUUGUUGCGUGUCUCGUAAGGCUCCUCCAUAAUUAAGAAGUACUAGAAUCAAUCCCUAAUGUGAUGUGAAAUAGAAAUCAUUCAUUAACCAAAUCGUAACGAAAGAAAUGUAAAGAUUCAAACUUUAAUCACUUUGCCAAAAACAGAGAGAUGGGUCAAAAAUUUACAGAUGUGGAAAUCACAUCUUAAGUUGAAAAAAAAAAACAAAUUAACAAACUUUAAAGCUUUAAAACUACGUUUCUAUCAGAAAGGAACUAUCUUUUCUUUUCAAAACAAAAAUAGAAUUUUCUAAAAAAAAAACUCAGAAAAAUCCGCAGAAAGGAGAGAGGAAGCUCACCGAGGAGAUGGUUCCAUCCACGAGCCCAGAGAAUUACAAUCUGAUGAUUUUUUACAAACUAGUGAUUAGCAUUGAUCUUCCUCCUCCUCCUGCCUGCGUCUCCAAAAUUAAGGAAAGCAAAAAAUAGAAACUUUAUGUGUGGCCAAGUAGGAUUCUGAUUAGAUCUCUCGUAGAUCAUAGAUUUCCAUUAUAUUGCGAGCUCGGCGCGUGGCAGAGGAUUAACGACGAAAGGUUUUGUCUUUAUGGAGGAUAAUUUUGUAUUUUAAUUAGGAGGAAAAGAUUAUUAUAUAUAAUGAGAAAAAGAAAAAAGGAAGAGUGAUGGGAAGAGGUUUGAGAUGUCUCGUUGUUAUGAUCCAACAGGGAGAAGAGGAGAUGGGCUCUUCUGAACGACUUUCCAUCACGUGAUCAUCCUUAUCCUCUUCUUUGGACCAACAAAAAGUCACUGUUUACGAGACACACCGCGUCGGGUCGCUUUUACUAAAACGACGCGAAAUGUCCUGACGUUCGUUGAAAACUGCACGUUGUUGGGCUUUUUUAGUCAAGUGUUGAGCUUUUAAAUUUACAUAUUUCUUGAUAAAAAGGUGGACAUCGUGCCGUUUUGCUUAGGAGUUAAUAAAUUUUGUUGCAAAAACGUUUCAUUUUCUUUAAAACAAAAUUUUAAGUUGAAUAAUCGUUUCUUGAACUACAUACGUAUACGUUGACUGUACCAUCAAUCGUGUUCAAUGAAAUGAAUCUCACAUGAUAAACAUACGUUUUCAGUUAAUAUUGAAUUAAAAUAAGAUCUAAGAAAGUGAAACAAGUUUAACAAAAAAAAAAACAAAAAAAAAAGUGAAACAAAACCAAAAGGACUUUCAUUAGAAGUCAAACCUAACACACAAAUUGCAGCUAGCAACCAGUAGUGAUAAGGUUGCAAAUAUUCUUCACUAGAUUUAUAACUUCAGUCGAUGAAGCUAUACAAUUUGAUCUUUGAUACAUAUAAUAUAUGAAUAUAUAUAGAACUAGUUUUCCUUCAAAAAAUAUAUAGAAUUAGGUACUAUAGUACACAAUGCAUGAACCCUAACAUUAAAGGAUAAAAUAAUACAGUAUAUUAUAUUGGUUUUAUAUGUCGACAUACAUGGAUUAUAUUGAUGGAUAAUAUUAUAGAAGGAAAGAUAACCAAUGGACAAACAUAAAAUCUACUUUUUUUUUCUUCUGAAAGUUUUAUCCUAACACCAAAGAGUGGGUGACUUUUGAUAUUGAAGACUGUUGUCUUUUGUUUCUGUCUGUAUAACAUUAAAAAACAAAUAAAGCAUGAGAAAAUUUGAUUGCCCCGUGAAGAUAUUUUUUUUAUAUUUGGUCUUGAAGAUAUUAGAAACAAAUAAGCUAUUCAAGAAAAUUGUAUUCUACUGAAAAAUUAUAAGCUGAUGGGGAAGAAAAGGUUUCAGAGAGAGAAAGAAUCGUCAGUGACGGCGACGGUAGGAGAAGCUUCAUCUCUGUUGGGGUCUCAGACGGCAAGGAGACGAAGAGGAAGGCCGAGGAAGAAUCUUGAGGGUCCUGAAAAUUCCAAGAAGGAAGAAGACGAAGAUUACGAGGAGUACGAGUACGAAGAAGAAGAAGAUGACGAGCAAGUUGAGAUUGUUAACAGAGAGAAACUGAAGAAGAAGAAGGUUAGAAGUAGCCAUAGCGUGGAAGAAGGGCAAAAGUGGAAACGUGAAGAACUAGCUGAAGAGGAGGAGAAGCCGGAUAUGACGGUGAAGACGGUUGCACCGCUGUCAUAUAGACGGUCCAGGAGGAAGAACACACCGGUGAAAAGCUGGUAAACUUAAUAUUACCAAACCAUUGGAGUCUUUGAUAUUGUGUUGUGUGUUCAUGGAUUAACUAUCGUUGAGUUAUAAAUUAAUUAAGAACCCUCAUGGGAAGACGACCUUUUAAUUCUUUAGAUUAUUGAAUCGGUUAAUUCAAAACAAGAACACAAGUUUUGGAAAGUUUUAGUCUUUUAGAUAACCAAUAAUGGGGGAAACAAUACAAGUUAAUGGUGAAUUUUGAAAUUAAUUAAAAGUAAUUGUUUCAUAAUGAUGCUUUAUAGGGUUUUAGUUGUAGUAGGUUGCAUAUUUUUAUGUGUUGUGUAGUUGAUGGUUACGUCGCUUUCGGAUUUUUGUAUGAUAACAAAAGAUGCAAAUGCACAUGGUUAACAGAUAAGUUAAGAAACCAAUGGAUAUUGCUAGUGAAAACGACUUGUCUAUUACUCUAAACCCACAACAAAGCUAUAUAUACUUAAUAUGAUCGUUGCUGUAGUUAAGAGCAAAGAACCUAGAAAAUAAAAACUAACUAAUUGCACGCAAGACAUUAUGGGCCCUGCAAGUGUUCACGUGCAAAACCAUCUUUGUCACAAGAUUAACAUCGAAACUUAUCAAAAUUCAAAACCGGUAAAUUCAAAACCUUGAUUAUAAGUAUUCAGUUUGAUAUGGUUUCAAAACCUUAACGUCUUUCCAGGAGUAACUUGUAACACUGAAGUUGACCAAAAAAACAAAGGCAGACAUUAGCUUACUUCCUCUCUUAAGCUACAACAGCCUGUGGUUUAGGGUGAUGAUGCCUUUCCUUCUUGUAACGCAACUGCUCUGGAUCAAACCCACCUUCCUCUGCUCCAUAAACUGCCCAUGAUGGUGUUUCAGCCAUAUAGUCCCUACUCGUGAACGGUUCUCCAGAAGCCACCUAUACGGAUUCAUUAACGAGUGUCAGUAAAAGUUAGCAUGAAAUCUUGAGUUUGAUCUGGUUUAACUAACUAACCAGAUCGUGGAACUUUUCAUAGUCGAUCCAGGUGAACCACUUCCCAUCCACUUUGAACUUGUCGGUUCUCCCUAGAAGAACACAGCAAGAAUGGGCGUGCUCGCAAGCAACCUCGUACUCUCCAUUGCUCUUCAGAGACAGAGCUUCUGAGAAUGCUUUAACAUCCGCGUGCCAUGGUACGUUCUCCAUUGUCAACUUUGAUGUUGCAGAUCUGUUUAUGUUUCCAUACGAUUAACAUAUGUAAUGACUUGUUUAUAAAAAGAAUGGAGAACAAGUGAAACACACUCACGAUCCACAAUAUGUGACGCCUUUGAUCUCGAUGAAGUCAGGUUUCCCGAUGUUGAAGAGAUUGAAAUAAGCUUCUAGCUCUUCUGUGUUCCAUCCUUUGACGAGUGUUAAACGGUAGACUGUUCGUUGUUGUUUCUCCUGGAGAGCUUUCAAGGAGUCCUGAGAUACAAAUGGAGCAGAUAUUAUAUACAUUUACCGUAAUUCAAAUUUCAUUUCGUAGGUUAUUACAUAAGACGUUUAUUUUAAAAUACUCACAAUAAACCGCUCCCAGAAGUCUGCAAAGAGAGGCCUAUCAAUAGCCUUCAAGCUCUCUUUGGUGGCAGCAUCUACACUUACGUACAACUGUAGAUAUCAAAGAUUAACGAGUUAGGCAACUUCGUUCCUCUAAGUGCAUGAAGAGCCUUCAAAGCUGGAAAAAACAUGUACAAAAUAGACACCACGGACCUGGGUGAUAGGCUUCAUCAUCAAAAUCUUUUCAGGGAAUUGUGCAUUAGUAACCAAGAAUGUGGAAAUACGCUUUCCAUGAAGCUCAUCCACAAGUGCAUUGAUCUCUGGAUACAUAAUUGGCUCACCAACAAGUGAUAACGCACAAUGCCUUGGUGUUAGACCUUCUUGUAACUUCUCUGGAGUUACACCUGAAGAACAUAUCCCCCCCAGUAAAACAUCAGCAUCUGACAUCCACUUAAGUGGUGGAAUCAAAUCAACCAAAUAACCAAAACACGCACAUUAUUAUUGACUUCCAAGAUCUAAACGACUAUCAUGACAUGUAUAAACUAUGAGAUAUCUAAAUAGGAUUCAGACACUAACUUGACCCACGGAUUCUCAUAAACCAUCAGAGACAUGACAGAGAUUUUUUUCAGAAUGUAUUAUCUGCAAACCAAAAUAAGGAGGGAGAUAUAAGCAGACCUGGAACUCCUUUCAUCUGUUUAAUCAUCUUUGUAUGAAGAUCAAGAGCACCUUUCACAAUCUCUUUAGGAUCGUCCAUCUUCCACUGCCAGCUCUUCCCCACAGGAUUAGUGUGAUGCCUCCAACAGAAGACACAUUUGUUCGCACAAGCCAAACUAGGUGUUGUCUCCAUACACCUUGCACAUUCCAAAACCCCAAAAUACAUCUCAACAUAAGAAAUCACAACCCUACAACCAUAAGGCUAGAUGUAAACAAACUUUCAAAUCGAACCUGUGACUCUCAAUGCCAUAAAAGGAGUGCUUGUAACAACCUCCCCUCCCUCUAAGCUGUGACUUCGUCCAUCUACAAAUCUUAACCCCACUAUGCGAGCCAAUGAUCUUAUACCCCUGCAACAAGUUACACAUAACUUCAGAAAACUCUCUAGCAAUCAAUAUCAAUAUAACUACCCUGCUUCAAAUCUCAAAGCAAAAAAAAAAAAAAACUACCUGUUUCGUUAAGCUAGCUCUAAUCACAGGUGUCACCAUCUCCUUCUUCCCAUCACCACGUUUCGUAACCUUAACAACACCGUUCUUCCUAGAAGGAGCUUUUCCAGCAAUAUCUUCGAGAUCAACAAUAUCAUUGCUAUCUUCUUCUUCCUCUUCAUCUGUUGUAUCAAUAUAUUCCUCUUCACUCUCAACGACACCGUUUUGAGUAAUCUCAUUAGCUUCCCGAGCCUGAGCAGAGCCUCCCUUGAGAACUCUAAUCACUCCAUCACACCACUCGUUAAACGCUCUAUCUAACUCUCCAUCGUCCACGUCACCUUCUCCCACCGGCACCAUCUCCGCUCCACCCAACCCCACCAUCCUCCUCGACAUCUCCUUCGCCACCGCGUUAUACUCAUCACCAUAAGCACGGCUCCCGACGCCGAAGACUCCGAAUCUGCAACCGGAGAGAAGAAGCGAUCCGACUCUGAAAUCCUCCGCGCUCUCCGAUAGCCAGUCGACGAGAAACUCCCCGUCCUUGGGCGGCUUCCCGCCGUCCCACGUCGACGCGACGAAGAUGGCCAGCGUCUCCUUGGGGAGAUCCUCCGGCUCGUAGCUAGCUGGAUCCACGAGAUCGAACGCGAUGCCGUUCGAUUCCAGGAGCUUGUGGAGGCGCUGAGCUAGGGAUUUGGAUGUUCCCGUUUGGGAGAUGAAGAAGAUCUUCCCCCUUCUGGUGCUAGGGUUUAAUAAGGAGAGGGUUUUGAGACGUUUCAGGCGGCGGUAUUUGUGGAUGCAGUAGAAAGUAGUCGCUGAGAGUAGAGCUACGAGAGCUAGUCGAGCGUGAAUGGAGGACGACGAAGCCAUGGAUUAAAGGUUACCAAGACUACGCAGGCGGCGCGUGGUGUUCACGCGAAAGCUAUGAACCGAGGUUUACACUAACGGAGAAAUGGCGGAGACGGGGAAGAAGUAUAAGGUUUACAUAAUGGUUUUUUAAGGCCCGGUUUGUUUAGAAUUAAGGCCCGGUUUGUUUAGGUUAAAAGCCCAUUAACUCCGUCCGAGAUCAGAAAGCAACAACAACCACGACUUUUUUUUUCCUUUGAUCUCUAUGCCACGUGGCAAUCUCUUAUUCGGCAAUACCUCCGAAGCUAUGAACCGGGAUCGGUUGUUGAGCGAGGUUGACACGAACGGAGAAAUGGCGGAGACGGGGAGUAAGUGUAUAAGGUUUACGUAAUGGUCUUUAUUUUUAAGGCCCGGUUUAUUUAGAUUUAAGCCCCGGUUUAUCUAGGUUUAAAGCCCAUUAACUCUGCCCGAGAUCAGAAAGCCACAACCACGCUUUUUUCCCUCUGCUCUUUAUGCGCCACGUGGCAAUCUCUUCUUCGGCAAUACCUAGUUGAUAAAACAAAAAGCAAAAAACAAAUAAAUCAAACUGAGACGGAAUGAAUAUUGUUGGUGGAUUAUCGGUAAAUGUUGAGCGUUUAUAUUCAAAUCUACUUUUUCUUGUUUGACGCCGUAUUCUCUUUCUGGGGAAUAUUAGUCGUUUCCUUUUCCAUGCCUAUAUUAUUUAUACCCUAUCAUCCACCAUCACCAUGCUUCUCAACAAGCGUCAUUUCUCUCUCUGUGUCUCUCUGUUCUCUUCUUGUGCACAAAGACAGUUACUCAAUUCUUCUGCUGGUUAGUAUAUUUUUUUUUUGUGUUUAAUGGAAUUUUUGUUUCUGUAAACUUUGUGUUGUUAUUUUUUUUUUGUUUGAUUUAACCUAAAGUUCAUUGAUUUCACAAUGAUUGAUUUCUCAACAAUGUGUUUGGUUUCCAUAUUUUUGGUAGUAGUAUUUUUCUUACAUAUUGCUAUUAGUGUGUUUCUCGUGAAUUUUAGUGAAGUUGUGGUAAAUUUACGUCUUUAAUUAGUUAAAGUUGCAAAUAUUAAUUAGGUCUUAAUUUCCUGGAGCCCUUGGGAAGAAACAUAAAUCAGGAGUUUACGUGGUGCAAUUUUUGUUCUAUCUUAACGAGCAAAUAAGGAUUGUUUUUACAGGAGGUUUUGUUACAUUUUUUUUUUCCUUUUCGGUGCUAGUGGAUCAAAGUGGUGCAAUCUUAGUGUUGUAUGACCCGUGUUGACUAAUCCUAAACUUUUGUAUUCUCUCUAGAAAACGUGUCAUCUAAAUUUAGCCUUAGUGGGUUCUGAGUAACCAGUUGCUUCUUCCGUGAUUGAUUUUAUAUAUUAUUGCUAUCAUUUUUUUUGGAUAGAGCAUGUACAUUCUCUAUGUAAUUUAUACCUUGUUUGUGUGUUGCAUCUAUUUUUAUAUAUUAGACGAGUUCAUUUGAAGGACAACAAAAAUGACGCUUCUUUUACUUGAUCAACUCUCAGGGACAAGUCAUAUCUGUUUCAAAAGUUCAAUGGAAGAACAAAGAGCUAGUGGUCUUACGGACAGCGUGGUGCAGUUUCAAAAUGUGGGAUCAAGGGACGGAUGUGAAGCUCCCCAUAAGUGGUCAUCCAAUGGAGGAGGAAAGAAAAUCGACGUAAGAAACCAGAUCUUCUGCAAUAGAUCUUUGAACAUGAAGAAUAUCAUUGCCGUAGGCUUUGAUAUGGACUAUACUCUGGCCCAAUAUAAGUCCGAAACUUUUGAGUCCCUUGCAUAUGAAGGCACUGUCAGGAAGUUGGUAUACGAUUUGGGGUAUCCAAGAGAGGUUAGUAUACUUUAUUGCUGUUUUUAAAUUUGUUACCGGUAGAAAAAGUUUGAUUAAUUUUGUUUACUCGUUGUUGUUUACAAAAAACAGCUGUUGGAAUGGACAUUUGAUUGGAACUAUAUGGUUAGAGGGUUGGUUCUAGACAAAAAGAAAGGAAACAUCUUAAAGGUAUAUAUCGUGUAUUGGAUUGGACUCUUAUAAUAAUUAUUGCCUCGUUUCCUAAUUGACUGUUGUCUCAUGUUUCAGAUGGAUCGCCAUAAGUACGUGAAGGUGGCUUACCAUGGGUUUAAGGAGCUCUCUAAGCAGGAAAAAGUUGAUGUCUAUGGCACUAGCCUAGUACGAGAUUCUUUUGAUGAGCCUGACUAUGCUCUCAUAGACACUCUCUUCUCUUUGGCCGAAGCCUAUCUCUUUGCCCAACUCGUUGACUUCAAAGAUAACAACCCUGAUAAAAUCCCCAAGGACGUUGAGUAAGACAACUUCCAUAUACGUUACUGUUUUCUUACACUUAUAUAGCCUCCAAGAAAGCAUAUGUUAUUGCUCAUGAUAUUCUAUAUUCUGUUAGUUAUGCUCGCAUGUAUAAAGAUGUCCGGUCUGCUGUUGAUAUGUGCCACCGUGAUGGUACUUUGAAGCAGAUGGUGGCAAAGAACCCUAAUAAGUAAGGCUGAUGGUAUAUUCAUUACUGUCUCUUGCUUUUUUCCUUUUUUCAUCAUAGAUUUUUAACUUGUUACUUUUUUCAGGUAUAUCAACGAGGAUGCUACCAUUGUACCUCUGAUAAAAAUGAUAAGAGAUUCCGGACGCUCAACAUUCUUGGUGACCAAUAGGUAAUGCUAAUGACAUAGUUCUUAAAACUUCAUUGUGUUAUGGUAAAAGUUGUUAUGCACGUAUGGCUUUUGUAGCUCUGCAUGCAGCUUAUUCAGCAUCAUAUUUAAAAUGGCAAUAUGCUCUAAAGUUCCACUGUAACCUGUUCCCCUGCCCCUUGUAAUAGAAAUGUGAACAUAGGGAGUUACAGAAACCUUUGUUGUGAGACAAACUUUCAUUACUAGUGAUUUGUUUUGUUCUUACCUGUCUUUGUAUAAUAGUUUUUAAAAGGAAUUUUUUUAACGACAUUCUUGCAGUUUGUGGGACUACACAAAUAUUGUGAUGAACUUUCUCUGUGGAGGCCGCACUGUACAUGGUCCUGAUACUUGCAACUUUGACUGGCUCCAAUACUUUGAUGUUGUGAUCACUGGCAGGUAUUUUUUUUUCUUAGUUUCUUUUUUAGUCUAAUGAUCUGAACAAAGUCAUGGUGAUGAACAAUAAGAUAUGUGCUAUUAUAGAAGAAUUUUAGUUUCUUGCAUUAUUCCUUUUUUUUUAAAUCUCGUUUGUUUGUUAUCUGAAUUGGAUAUAUGUUUGUGAAGUGCAAAACCUGGUUUCUUCCAUGAGGAGAGCCGUGCCAACCUUUUUGAGGUGGAACUUAAGUCAGGGAUGCUGAUCAAUACGGACAAUGGAACACCUAUGGCUCAGGUUAGACUUCACGAGUUGUGACAUUCGUUCAGUCUUUCACAUGCUAGUUAUCCAAAUGUUGCAACUUAUAUUUUUUUUAUGAUUCACAGAUUGGAGAUCCUUCACCAAAAAUUCCACUGAAGAGUAAAGACAAAGCGUGUCAAGUUUUCCAAGGUGGAAAUGUUGGUCAUCUUCACAAUUUGCUCUCCAUCGAGUCAAGUUCUCAGGUACUGUCACACUAUAAACCUCUAUAGUAACUGGAUGUACCGUGCCAUGUCUCAUUUAUCAGUCACUUAUUCGAUCUUAUUAGGUCCUUUACGUUGGCGAUCACAUAUACGGUGACAUCUUGCGCAGCAAAAAAGUCCUCGGUAAGGUUUCCUUUGCCAGUUAUAGAUUUUUACUUCUUUUUUUUGUUCUGUGAAGUAAACUUGUAGUUUAAUUUUUUUCUUUAAUUCUUCAGGGUGGAGAACUAUGCUGGUUGUACCGGAACUUGAAAAGGAGGUUGAAUUUCUGUGGGAGCUUAGGAACGCGCGUAAGGUGAAUGGACCCUCUCUUCAUAUUGUCAUUAUAAAAUAUAUGAUUUUGUGAAAUAGGCUUUUUCCUUAUCUGAUAAAUUUUUGGGUUUGCAGGAACUAAUUUUGAUGAGGAAUGAGCGUGACUCAGUGGAAGACAUGAUCCACCACUUGAGCUGGUCUCUGCAGUAAGUCUUCUUUAAAUAAGAAUUUGAACCAAAGAAAGCUUGUGUAACCAGAUCAUAUAUCGUGUCAGGUUUGAAGAUAUCAACGAGAAAGACAAGCAGGAAAUGCUAUCAACGGUUAAGGACUUAGUGGUACGUUAGGAUUUGCACGGACUCCUUAAUCUCCAAGAGUUGCAUAUUCAUUUAAUAAUUAAUGUUUUUUUUGGGUGGGAUUCAACAGUGUAAAAGAGAUGAAGUACGACUAAAUCUUCAAGAUGCUCAAAGAGAAAGCCACAAAAAGGUAAAAAUCAUGUAGAGUGUGUCAAUGUAAAACAACUAGUUUGAAGUUCCAAUGCUCAUGUUGUUGGUUUUUUGGUUACUGCAGUUUCACAAUGUCUGGGGGCAAUUAAUGAAAACUGGUUACCAAAGUUCUAGAUUUGCUCACCAGGUAAUAACGUUUUAUAUAAAUGUAACGGUUAUAGUUUUUUUUUGCCUUUGUGAGGAAUUUGAUUUCAUGUUAUCUUUCAAUGUAGGUGGAGAGAUUUGCAUGCCUGUACACGAGCCAGGUCUCUAACCUGCGGUUGUACUCCCCAGAAAAGUACUACAAACCAAGUGAGGACUUCAUGUCACAUGAGUUCCACCUUCUUCCCCUUUGAUUGAUCCGAUCAGUGAGAUAGCUAAAGAAAGUCCAUCUGAAGUCAAGAGAGUAUUAUCAAAGUAAUUGUUUGAUUUGGUUGGGUGCUUAUUUUUGCACAAGCUCCCUUUAUCUCUUCUUUUACUCAUUGCAUUUUCAAUUUCACUUUGGUACGAACUACAAGUUUAAGAUUCUAUUGGAAACGUUUUCUUUUUACCUUGCGGAAAAGUUUGUGUCUACAAAACUCAUUAGUCUACUAUCAUUUAUUUUAAUUGGUCUGUUUCUUCACAGAGAAGAAUUAGAACACGUCUUGUUUGGUGCUUUAGAUAUAUCUUUAGAUGGAUCAUUCUAUCUAUGGCAGUGUUGAUGUUCAGAUUCAUCUCUGUAUUAGCAUAAUCUUUACUCUAUUAGAAGAGUUUGAUCAAAUUACAACAAAAAAAAACUACUUGUGUUCAUAUACAUAUAACAGAAGAUUAUUGACACACAACAAACAAACAAACAAAUCUUCGUAACUUCUCACAGCCCAAUUAAACAACAGCUGGAAAAAUCUCUGACAUUUCUUUGUUUCUUCUUGUUCUUGGCCAAAACAGCGAUGUGGUGAAAGGGAAACAUAUAAUGAUCAUCUGAACAAGGCUUGAAGUUCCUCAAGUGUUUUCCCUUUGGUCUCAGGAACCCAUAGAGUUACAAACACCACUGUGAAUGCACACACCACCGCGUAUAGAGUGAAAGUUCCUGUCCAACAUGAACCAAAACCCCAUUAAAUAAAAAUGAUCCCAUCAUGGCGACAGAGAGAGAAGAGUAAGAGAGAAAGAGAGAGAAACCUCCACUGCUCCAGGCCAAGAGCAAGUUUGCAGUCAUGGUGAUCAACCAAGAGAAGAACCAAUUUGCUAAAGUCGCUAUACUUCCAGCUAAGCCCUUUAUGUUUACAGGAAGGAUCUGUUUACCACAACAACAACACCAAAUCAAUCAAAAGGCAGUUUAAUACAGUUCUUACAACACUUAGUUCUAGCUUCUAAUUAAUACCUCAGACAUAAUGAGCCACGGAAUUGGUCCCAUUCCUAAUGAGAAAGAAACAACCAUUGCCUGUAAAAUGAUUCAAAAGAGUUAAAGCAAUGAUAACAUCUCACUGCAUCAAGAAAGUUUCAAAACAAACAAACUUACCACAACUCCAACUACAGAUAAGAUGCUCAGCAUACUGUACAUGUCUGAAUCAUGAGACACAAAUCCCUAAAACAAGACAUGUAAUAACUCAAAAACGUUGUUACAGAAGAUAAAAAAUAGUGUUUAAGGAAGUUACAAAUUUUAAAAGUACCUUAAGGUAGAAAGCAGCUGCAACAAUUACUAAACUGAUCGUCAUCCCAACCGAAGAGAUCUACAAAACAUUUCCAUUUACGUUAUUAGUUAAACUUUGGACCUGUCCUGAGUUAGAUUCCUAAAGAUAUGACACUAAUGAAUACUCACGGUAAGCAGAAGGCGACGACCUGCUUUGUCCACCAACCAUGUUGAGAUUGCAGUCGCCACUACUUGAAUAGCACCGACCCCAAAUGUUGCUGCAUUACUCGAUGUAACUCCUACAAACGAGAAAAGGUCGAAGCUAUGUAAUAAUCUGAAACAAGACACGUCCUGUCUUCUUAGAGGAAGGAACUUACCUGCAGAUUCAAAGAUUGUACUGGAAUAGAAUAAAACGCCGUUAAUCCCACCGAGUUGUUGAAGUACAAGCAACCCUAUACCAACCUGUUACACACACAAAAACAGUUUUAAGAUAAUGUUUCUUUAUGGUAGAGAAAGCAUAUUCAAUGUUUUGUACCAUAAGUGGGAAAUAGUAUCUCCUCCUCUUGAGAUCUACAAACCGAACUGUAGAUGAUCUCUUAGUAGAUGAUGCCACAGAUCUCUGCAGAAGAUAUGAAAAAGAAUAAGCCUUUAAAAAUAAUUUAUAUACCUUUAAAGAAGGAAAAGAUUCUGAGUUGUAAUAUAUUACCUUGAUCUCAUUAACCUCAACGGUAAUAUCAGUCUCAAAUCCUCUAAGCACUUGUAAAGAAGUUUCAAAAUCAUCAGUCAUACCCAUUUUCGCCUACAAAAUUAAAGUAAAUCAUCCCAUAAGAGUGGAUUAACCAAAAUAUGAACUUGACUCAAGAAAAAUAUUUUUUUUAAACUUACAAGCCAGCGAGGGGAUUCAGGAAUGAAAAAGAGACCUGGUAUCAAUACUAUGCAUGGCAAUGUCCCUAAGUAAGACAACAGAGAAAGUGAUUAGAGCAUGUUAAUGAAUCAUUAAUCAGGAAAAUGGUUUCAGGCUUACCCAAAACUGCAAGAAUCCUCCAUGGAACAAAGAGGCCAAGUAAAUAAGCCAGCAUUAUUCCAAUUGUCACAGAAAGCUACAUGCAAAGAAAAAGUUAACCAACAUCUAAUGUUCAGCAUUAAAAUCUAUUCACAAAAUGAAAAAGAAGAAUCAUUCAGCUAGGCGUGUCAAACCUGGUUAACUGAACCCAAUCCUCCCCUCAUAUUCUGUGGAGCUAUCUCAGCAAUAUACACAGGCACCUGCAACCAAAAACCGAGUUGGCAUAAACCAUAAGCAAAGCAAAAACUAGGUGAUGAGUUCAGCAUUUACCGUGUAAGAGAUGAUCCCAACACCAAAGCCUUCUAAAAGCCUUCCCAUGUAAAGAAAAGAAGUAUCCUACACAACAAAGGAUGAUGUAAUGCCAAUCAUAACAUUUUCAGAUCAAAUAAAAAAAAAAUUAUAAAACAACAAAAAACUCACUUUUGCAAAUGAUAUGCAAAGCCAGCCAAUGAUAUUGGGAAUUGCAGCAAUCAUCAGAGACUGUCCAAGACAACACACAAACAAUAAAAGGGUCUAAGUAAAGCGAGUAAAGAUGUCAUUAGCUGGAUCAAGAUUCAAAAUUAGACAAAGCUAUACCCCUUUUCUUCCAAUGUAUUCUGCAAUCUGACCACUGGCGAUUGCACCAACCAUAGCACCCACAUUGGAUAGAGAACCAAACACAGAGUACUAAUACAUGUAACAAAAGAGAUCAAAGUCAGUCAACGGUAAAAACCAGACAGGUCUAGACAAAGAGAUUGGUUUAUUAUUAUUACCUCAGAUACAGUUAAACCCAGAUCCUUAGUGAUUGCAGCUUGUGUCGGAGAAGAAUAACCACACUAAAACCCAAAAAAGAUACAAAUCAGUCAACAACUUUCUACAAAUGGAAAAAGAAAAAAGGUUGAGACGUUUUUAUUCUGACUUACAGUGAAACCGAAUUGAAUAGGACCAAGAGCAACGAUCAGGACACAAGCAAGAACAGAGAUAGAGCUGUCUCUGAUGACUUGAGACGAACCCAUCAUGCUCGAUUGUCUUGAGCCCAUCCGGUACCAGCUUCCCGUGUGUAUGAAAGGUCGUCGCAGAUCAUUAUUCCUGGCCUCCUCUGUAUCACUCAUCUUUCUUCUGUAAAUAAAAAAAGCUUCAAGCUUUAGCCUCAAGGCAAGAAAAGAAACCUCCUUUUGGACUUUUAUGCUCGGUUUAGAGGAUCUAGAAACUGGGUUUUUGAUGACGAAGCUGUGCUUUGGAUAAGAAGGGAUUUUAAGAGACGCCGUCUUGUUAUGGAAAAAAUCGAAAAAAGGAAGAUAAUUUGGGUGUAAUGUAGUGAUUAACUGCUGGUGAGACAAGAGGAGAUUUGUUCUGAUAGUUCUUUUUUUUUUUUUGAAGAUCACAACAGGUUGCGUCGUCGCAUAAACCAAAUUUGGACAAAAUUAAAGGUUCUUUUUAGAUAGUGGACAAUUUAUUUUUAUAUUUUUUUGCUAAAACUAACAAAUAUUUAGACAAAAUAAAAGAUAUUAUGGUAAAUAUAAUUACACAAUGUUUUUGGAUGAUGAAUAAUUUACUAUGUAGAUCUUUUGCUAAAACUAAAAACAUACUAUAGUCAUCAGGAUUUGCUAAAAAGAUAAUGCAGUUUUUGAACAGAAUAUGUUGCCAAUAAAUAUGAAUUAUCUUAUUGUGUUUUGGAUAAUUUAUAUCCGUUUUUUAAUGACCAGCUAGUAUUUGGUUUUGGAUAUUUAUCAUUUUUGGUCAGUAAUCCACCACUGUUAACUACCUGAUUUUAGUUUGGGGAAUGAUAUAUAAUCACUACAAAAUACAAUAAACUGUUAGGAAAUAUAUUUACACUAAUUAAUCAAAACUGGAAGUUUUUUUUCUUUUGGAUAAGACAUCCACAUAUUACUUACAUCAUUAAUAAAUACUAAAAUAAGUAAUUUUAUAUUUUAAGCUUAUUAUUUGUAUUAAUUCUUUUUAUGAAAUAUUAGAAUUACUUUUGGAAGUUUGUUCUCUUAUUUUUUUUCUCAUCUUUUUUUGGUCAGCUUUGAGGUCCGUGAACGCACCGCACCGUACUCGUAUUAUCAAAUUCCAGACCCGCAUUUCAAAUAUUAAUUCCAUUUAAGUCUUCAGUUUGUAUUUUCGCAUCCAUAUAAAAAGCCAAAUUAUCAACGAUGUUCUAUACUUUAGACUAAAUCAAAUUGUUUUCUUUUUAAUUGCCGUUUGGUAAGAAAUAGAAGAGUGAGAAAAACACUAGAGAAAUGUGAGGGAAGAGGUGGCCAGAACACAAAAAGACAGAGUAUCAUAUCAUACCGAACACGUCUUCGUGAUCUGAUAUCCCUGUCUCCAUUCAUAACCUAACUAAUCUUCUUGUUGACCACAAAUUUUAUAUAUCUGCACUCUACAUAACAUUGAUUAAGGUAUUUUGUUCUCGUUUCUCACAUGUACAAUAGUUACAAACAGAAUAAAAUAA